UUAUGAAUCACUUGGGAUCUAGCUUAAAAGCAGAAUCUGAUGUAGUCAGCCUUUGGUUGGGUCUGCAUUUCUAACCAUCUCACAUGUGAUGCAGUG
rnacentral:pre_miRNA from 1 species